rnacentral:sRNA from 1 species
UAAGUUAACGACUCGGUAACAAUCGCAGUCAGCGAAAGGCAGCCUGCACAAGUGGUUUAGUGAAGUCGCCAAUCGCGAUUUUUUCAUUUUUUAGUUAGAAAGUAGCAUUUUAUGGCAACUGGUAUUGUUAAAUGGUUCAACGACGCAAAAGGCUUCGGUUUUAUUACUCCUGACGAGGGCGGUGAAGAUUUGUUCGCACACUUCUCUGCAAUCAACAUGGAAGGCUUCAAAACAUUGAAAGAAGGUCAAAAAGUUUCUUUUGAUGUAACAACAGGCCCAAAAGGCAAACAAGCCGCUAAUAUUCAAGCCGCUUAAUUCCUUUCCAGACCAUACAACCAUGAAAGGCAGCUUUUCUCUGAAAGCUGUCUUUUU